GCGCCUCUUCUCUCGCCAUUGCGCUCAUUGUCUCGCUGCUGAAUCCGCGUCGGUUCGGAUGCUGCUCCAUCAAACCGUAGGCUGUUUUAUUAUUAUCCCAGCGGUGAGGACCUGACUCCGCACGCACAAACUCACACACACACACACACACACACACACACGGACAAACCAUAUGCGUGGAUUUCGGCUCUUUUUCCCUUCUUCGCCAAUGCAACAGGAAAUAUGCAGCGGAUCUUCGCCAUCCUCUACACCAGUUUACUGGGGAUAUGCUUGGGUUCGGGUUCGAGUUUCCCAAGUAACAUCAAUAUAGGAGGGUUGUUCCCCACCGACUCGCAUGAAUAUGAGGUGUUCCGGUUCGCCUUGUCUCACCACCAGGACAUCCCCAAGCUGGUGCCGCAGGUGGAUAUGGUCAAAUUGGGAAACAGCUUCUCCAUGACAUAUGCCUUUUGCUCCCAGUUCUCCAAAGGAGUGUACGCCAUCAUUGGGCUGUAUGACAGGAAGACCGUCAACAUGCUCAUGUCCUUCUGCGGAGCGCUGCACGUCUGCUUUGUUUCGCCGUCCUUCCCCAUCGAGACAGCCAACCAGUUUGUCAUCCAGCUGAGGCCUGAGCUUCAGGAUGCCCUGGUGGGAGUCAUCGAUCACUACGGCUGGACCAAGUUUGUCUACAUGUACAGUUCUGACUCAGGACUGUCAGUUUUGCAGAAGGUUCUGGACACGGCAGCAGAGAGGAACUGGCUGGUGACCUCAGUCAAUGUGGAGACCAUGACAGAGGCCUCCUUUCUGAAGGUGUUCCAGGAUCUGGACAAGAGGAAGGAGGGACAGAUCAUCAUCGACUGUGAGACAGAGAGGCUCACUGGCAUCCUCAAAAAAAUUGUUGAACAAGGAAAGAAUGCAAAGAGCUACCACUACAUCCUCGCCAACCUGGGGUUCCUCGACAUUGACCUGACAGACCUGAGGAAAGGUGGUGCCAACAUCACCGGCUUCCAGCUCGUCAACCACUCGGAUCCGAGCGUGAGCCGCGUCGCCCAGCAGUGGAUGGAGUUCGACAACAAAGAUUCUAAAAUGCCCAAGACUGGACUCAAAUACACGGGUGCUCUGACAUACGACGGGGUGAAAGUCAUGUCCACGGCCUUCCAGAACUUAAGGAGACAGAGGAUAGACAUCUCUCGCCGGGGCAAUGCUGGAGAGUGUCUCGCUAACCCGCCAACCCCUUGGGGACAGGGCAUUGAUAUCCAGAGAGCUUUGCAGCAGGUCCGUAUCGAUGGACUGACGGGUCACAUUCAGUUUAAUGAGAAAGGCCGCAGAACCAACUACACUGUCUGUGUCAUGGAACUGGCUCCAUCUGGACCCAACAAGGUUGGCUACUGGAAUGAAGAGGAGAGAUACGUGACCACAGCCAGCCAAGUGAGGAACAACGACACUUAUGGACUGCUGAACAGGACAUAUAUAGUCACGACUAUUGUGGAGUCUCCGUACGUGAUGCUUAAGAAGAACCAUGAGCAGCUUGCGGGGAACGAUAAGUAUGAGGGCUACAUUGUCGAGCUGGCUGCUGAGAUCGCCAAGCACGUGGGCUACCAGUACAAACUAAAAAUUGUCUCUGAUGGGAAGUACGGAGCCAGGGAUCCUGAAACCAAGAUGUGGAACGGCAUGGUCGGGGAACUGGUGUACGGAAAAGCAGACCUGGCAGUGGCUCCUCUAACUAUCACUCUCGUUCGUGAGGAAGUGAUAGACUUCUCCAAGCCCUUUAUGUCUCUGGGUAUUUCCAUCAUGAUCAAGAAACCUACCAAAUCUAAGCCUGGCGUGUUCUCGUUUCUGGACCCACUGGCUUAUGAGAUCUGGAUGUGCAUCGUCUUUGCCUACAUCGGCGUCAGCGUUGUCCUUUUCCUCGUCAGUCGAUUCAGCCCGUAUGAGUGGCACUCUGAGGACUGCGAUGAGGGAUGCGAGCCACAGACUCCCACACAGGCAGCAGCCACCAACGGCAUGCAGCAGAGCCAGACGCCAGCGCAGCAGAAUGCCAGUCAGCAGAGUCCAGAACAAACCAAUGAGUUUGGCAUCUUCAAUUCCCUUUGGUUUUCUCUGGGCGCCUUCAUGCAGCAGGGCUGUGAUAUCUCACCACGGUCUCUGUCGGGUCGGAUUGUUGGUGGAGUCUGGUGGUUCUUCACGCUCAUCAUCAUCUCAUCCUAUACGGCCAACUUGGCUGCCUUCCUUACGGUGGAGAGGAUGGUGUCACCUAUAGAGAGUGCAGAGGAUCUGGCUAAGCAGACAGAGAUCGCCUACGGAACUCUAGACGCCGGCGCCACCAAGGAGUUCUUCAGAAGGUCAAAAAUCGCUGUGUUUGAGAAGAUGUGGUCGUACAUGAAAUCGGCCGACCCGUCCGUGUUUGUCAAAACGACGGAUGAAGGCAAGAUGAGAGUUAGGAAGUCCAAGGGGAAGUAUGCCUACCUGCUGGAAUCCACAAUGAAUGAGUACAUCGAGCAGAGGAAACCCUGCGACACGAUGAAGGUGGGGGGAAACCUGGACUCCAAAGGUUAUGGAAUUGCCACUCCUAAGGGCUCCCACCUCAGAAACCCAGUAAACCUGGCAGUGUUAAAACUGAACGAGCAGGGCCUCUUGGACAAAUUGAAAAACAAGUGGUGGUACGACAAGGGAGAGUGCGGCAGCGGGGGCGGGGACUCCAAGGACAAGACGAGCGCUCUGAGCCUCAGCAACGUGGCGGGAGUUUUCUACAUCCUGAUCGGGGGGCUGGGCCUGGCCAUGCUAGUGGCUCUGGUGGAGUUCUGCUACAAGUCCCGGACCGAGUCGCGCCGAAUGAAGGUGUCCACCGCACGAGCUGCUGCAGCCACAGCCGCUCAGGCCUUUCACUGCUCAGCCUUAGAAAGUGGUGCUAGCGCCACCUACGCAGAGCUGCAGAGCUACGGCCUGUACGCCAACAACACUGUUAAGAUAUAAGGGCAGAGCACGGCCAUGGGGUAGGAAAUGCUGCGAUGUAACCCUGAUGAUGAUGCAUUUGCCUCCACCCCGUCCUGCCCAUCUACCCGUGACAGCAGUAGGGCCACUCAUGGCUUCCACCGCAGUGCCAAAGCUCUCCUGUACCCUCUCUCUGCCUCUGCCGCUUCUUUGCUCAGUCUUUGUCACAGAUUUACAGUGUCUGGAAAUCACUUGAUUUUAAAAUUGCCAUUAUGCCUGUUCAUCGUGCUUUCUUGAGAUUCCAACAUCCUAACAUUUGGGCUAGUCCAUGCCAGUUCAAUGCACUUUUUACUAUGUUUAAUCUUUCUUUUUUUUUUUAUUGUGAUCCUUUUUUUAUGUUAAUUGUGAGUCCCUGUGGCUUGAACAUCCCAAAUUGUAGAACCACUGGCAUACAUUUAAUCAUGGAGCGCUUUAUUUACACAUUCAUGCCUUUAUUACAGUUGUAGACCACUUUUAACAUAAAAAAUAUUUAAUGUAUUAACAAAAGUAUUUUUUGUCUUUGUGAAUUUAGCAUUUCCCCUUUGACAGUUAUUGCACAUUUGACUUUACAUAUUUAUUUGACCGAUUUGAGCAAGAUUUAAGCAGUUGUAGCUUUAAAACUGCAUAUAUCCCUUAAAAAACAGAUAUGAAUAAAAACAAAUGACUGCAGUACUGAUGCAACAAAGUAAUGUUUCAUCCUUUACCAGAAUUUUUGCAUGUGGCGCAUACUUGUAUGUUUUGUAUUACAAUCACCCAGAUGAAAUUUAAAAAUAAAUCAAAAAACAAAUUAGUAAUAUUUCUGCCACAUUGGAAGGUGGGGAAGACCCAAAAUACACACACAGAGAUAAACUUUGUCGAAUACAAAGAUUUUGUUAUUAAAAUAAGUCGAAUCAGUUAAAGGUGCAUUAUGUAAGAAUGAAGUAAGAAUGACAUCCAGUGGUCAAAUGUGGUAACUGCAGGCCAUUUUGUCAACACCAUGACCCGAAUUUCACAGAAGAAGAAAAUAUAAUUUCUAUAGCGCCUCUCACGAUAAAAAUCACGAGGAGCUUCACAAAAACAAAAAAUUUAAAAAUAUAAAAAAGCAUUUAGAAAAUGUUUAAAAAUAUGUUUAAAAUGAUCAAAAAUAGACAAUUGGGAUUUAAAAGAAAAAAUGUUAAGAGAGAGAGUGAACAGGAAAGAGGGAAAUCGGUGGAUCCUGAGGAAGGUGGAAUAGGUGGGGAGAGCAGAAUAAAGAGAGAGGAGUUGAAGAAGGUCAUACAAAAGCCAGCUUGACCAAGUGAGUCUUCAGCUGCUUUUUGAAGGAGACCACUGAGUCCACUGAUCUCAGGCUCAGGGGGAAAGAGUUCCAGAGUCUGGGGGCCACAGCAGCAAAUGAUCUGUCACCUUUGGUCUUUAGCCUGGUGCUGCACAACCAGUAGGCUUUGGUCACUGGUUCUCAGGGACCUGCUGGGGGUGUAGGGACUGAGAAGAUCACCCAUGUAAGAUGGUGCUUGUCCAUGUAAGGCCCUAUAGACCAGAACCAGGAUCUUGAAAUGAACCCUGAAGUUGACUGGCAGCCAGUGAAGCUGGAGGAGAAGCGGGGUGAUGUGGGUGUGUUUGGAGGACUUGGUCAGAAGCCGAGCACAGGCAUUCUGAACCACCUGUAGACGGUUCAGGGAGGUUCUGCUCAGACACGUGAAAAGAGAGUUGCAGUAGUCUAAGCGUGAGGAGAUGAAGGUGUGGAGAACUGUCUCAAGUUCAGAGCGGGACAGAUUGGGACUCAGCAAUGUUACUGAGAUGGAAGAAGGAAGAGCGAACAAGAGAACUGACAUGAGAAUCCAGGGUGAGAGCUGGGUCAAAGGUCACACCAAUAUUCCUGACAGAGGGUUUGGUGUGAGUAGCAAGCUGACCAAGAGAGUCUCUGACUUUGGGAACCAGCUUGUCUGGGGCACAGAUGAGGAUCUCAGUCUUAUCUUCAUCCAGCUGUAGAAAGUUCCCAGCCAUCCAGGUUUUGAUAGAGUCUAAGCAGGUGUGUAACAGCUGCAGCUUAGACAUCUCACGGGGCUUAAAGGAGAUGUACAGUUGGAUGUCAUCUGCAUAAAGAUGGUAGGAGAUUCCUUUGAAGGAGCUCAGGAUGUGCUGAAGAGGAAGCAGAUAGAGGAGGAAGACCAGAUGCCCCAGCACAGAACCUUGUGGGACACCAUGGGUAAGAGAGGUGGUGGAGGAUCUAAACUUGGAGAUGGCCACAGAAAAGGAGCGCUCAGAAAGAUAAGAGGAGAACCACUCCAGAGCAGUUCCUGAUAGGCCUUUCCAGUCUCUCAGCCUCUCCAGUAGCAGGUGAUGGUCAACAGUGCCAAAGGCUGCAGUCAGGUCCAGCAGGACCAGAACAGUCCCCUGCAUCACUGUGAGUCAGAAGGUCAUUAGAGACCCUAAGAAGAGCUGUUUCAGUAGAAUGAGCUCUACGAAAUCCUGACUGGAAGCUAUCAUAGAUGUUAUGUUCAUCAAGAGCAGCUGUGAGUUGUUUAGCCACAACCUUUUCCAAGAUUUUGGAGAUGAACGGAAGUUUAGAGCUGGGUCUGAAGCUGCUAUGGAGAGAGGGGUCGAGACUCGUUUUUUUAAGAAGCGGGUGGAUUACAGCGUUCUUAAAGUAAGCAGGGACCUGACCAGAGACCAGAGAAGCAUUAAUUAUAGAGAGCACACUGGGACCGAUGGACUGAAAAGCACUUUUAAACAAAGAUGAGGGUAAGAUGUCGAGGGGGCAUGCAGAGGUCUUCAUAGAGUUAACACAGUUAACACAGCUGUUCCAGCUACAGCUCAGCGCCAGCAGAUUCCAGAUGAUGAGUGAAAACGAAUCUCACACAGUCAGUCGAUAAGCAAAUAAAAACAUUUCACCGUAACAUUGAAAUGUUGGUUAAUGAAAGAGUAGCUUUUUAGAGCUGACUUGUGUGUCAUGGCCAACAUACAUUUUCAUAUUUUAAUUUUAAAACAAAGCCUGGCACAUUUUAAAUUAAAACACAAAGAAACAAAGGCCAGCACAAGAUGCUUUCACCUUACAGCAUGUCACCAAAUUAUGAACUGUUUAAUGUCAUAAUAUACAAUUUAAGUCUGAUUUUCUGCAUCGUAGGUUUCUAUUUAUAUUCAGCUCACAAAUGUUCCAAGCAGGGUACUUGUUAAAUCCCAUUACCAAACUCAUUACUGUAAUCUUUUGUACCCUUUUCAUAAAUUUGACUUUCAGCACAGGUAUAAAGGCAAUUUGAAUCACAGUGGUACAUCAAUCUACCUCUGUCGCUCUGAGCAGUUCUGUCCCCUCCUCUCUUUUUGCUGACUGCAGGGCCCAUUGUGGUGAACAUCGUUUCUAUGUAAACCACGAGGCAGUCGUGGUUCGGCUCGCAUGUCUUCCAUCACCGCUUCAGCCUAAAACCCAAUAAAUCUACCUUGUUGUGUGUUCAGAGAUGUGAAAUUGAGGACUUGUUGCUUCACUCUUCACCAGAAGAUCAAUCCAUCAACGACGCCAUGCGCUGCUCCACCUUGACCAGGAUGAGUGGUAAUGGGAGCGGAGGAGAGAAUGGACGAAUCCUCACCCACGACUUCCCCAAGACCGUUCAGACACUGCCCUGUAUGAGCCACACAGCCAGCAUGGGACUGGGUGCCUCCGGCAUGUGACUGCCAUCUUACUGUGCCGGCGGCAACCAACUGGCCUGGUGGGGCCAAAGACGAGCACAGGACUCCGAUGACCUCAAAAAUCCUGGCUUGACCAAUCUACUCUCCUGGCUGUUGAUGUGCCCUAUUUAAAAAGAAAAAACUUACAGCCAAAAUGCACUCUCAAACCGCUCCUGACAAACUAUGAACAGAGACACUCAACAUUUUUUUAAUUAUUAUUUUAAACCAAUGGAUGUUUAAAAAGAUAUUGAGAACAAAGAAAGGGAAAUUGUGCUGCAAUAAAGAAGCUGUCAGUGGGGCGUGAUGAAGGAUUUUUUACAGUGUUCGUUUAUGUGGAAAAAAUAACUUUAUUCUUCAGUGUGUCGACUGCGCUGUGCCAUUUUUAUGGAGCUGUUGACUUUCGUGUGCAUUACUCACCGUCACUGCUGACAUUGUGCUACAUGCUUUCCAAUGGCACGUGUCUUUUUGCACAAAUGUCGCAGAAAUAGAUGAUUACUUGUGACUGCUUUUAUCAAUCUGUUUAUGGAACAUUUCCCUUUGCUUUGACUCACGUUUUUCACAAAUUACUUCAUUUUCUAAAUGCUCUGUUCGAUGCACCCAGUUUUAUUAUGAAACGUGGUGUACAGCGUUGCAACAGAGGAGAACCUCAACAGAAGUGGUUUGGUUAAUCGUCAGAUGAACGUUGUGUGAACCAGCAGCUUGACCAGGCUACAACAAACACACAUUGCUGCUAAGCUUCGUAGAACACAUCACGCCUUGUCGUACAUCCUCACAAAUGCACACAGAUCAACUUUAGUCACAGGUACAGUUUUACGGACCAGAGAAACGGAGGUCACAUUUAAAACAUCCACAAAGGUUAAUGUGGGUAAAGAAAUGAAGAAAGCAAAUAUUGUACAGUACUGAGGGACCUUACACUGUUUAGUACUGCAUGCCCACUGAUAAACACGCAAGUUUAUUUGCAACCCAAGUUAAAAAGCAUAGAUUGACUAAUCAAAAUUUUAUGUGAAGAAAGCACCAUUCCCAGUACAUUACAAUGUAGUUUUAGUUGUAUUUCUUUGAAUGAAAUUAACAGCCUUUACAGUUUGCUGAGAAUGGCCCAGGGUGAGGGUUGCCGUAAAUACCAGGGAAGUUAGCUUCAUCUCAUUGUUGCUAGCUAAGGAGGUGGUACAGAUAGGGGUUGGUAGGACUGGCACAAAGAAAGGUAUAUGUUGCAUUUGCAAUAAUGUCCACUGUUCAAAAGUGAAACCAAAACAUCCUUGGGCAAUGAUGUUUUGUAUUUCUGCACCCUUGGCCAAUAUUUAAGUAUCAAAUAAGACAAUACAUCAAAAUUCAUUAAUACAUAUCUGAGCAUAAAGCAGCAUGGUUUGAUUCACUCAAACAUGAGUCAACUACUAGAAAAAUCAUCUGAUGUGUUUUUUGUUUCUUAGUCACAACAAAGCCCCCUUCAUUCACACCCAAGCUCCCAUAACUCUGCAACAAAUUUGAAGUCAAUGAAGAAGUGGCAAAAAUCGUAGUUCCACCCUCCUCCACUAGGGGCUGGCAGCAGAAGAGAGCAAAUCCUCUUUGACUCCCAUGUUAAAAAGGCCCAAUUCACAGCAGAAAUAAACAUGUUUACAGCCUGGUUCAAAAAAACCAUUUUAGGUUUAAUAGAUCUAGUUUACACUCAUGACAAGUCUGAGGGAGGUACAUUUUUUGUAACUCUUCUGUUCAAGUGGAAUUUAAUGCUUAAACAUUUGAAUGAGCCUCCACAUGACUUCAGAGCUAGCUCUGGAGAAAGGCCUCAGCCUGGGCCUCACGUUAAUAGAUGUUCGGCUAUUUUGACUCUCUGAACUUUAGUUUUGUCUGUGUUUGUGUUCGUGUUUGGAUGUUAAUCGUGGAAUUAGUUGGACAAAAGGUCAAGCUGUGGUUACUAACAGAUCAUCCAAGCAGUUUGUGCUUCUUUUCAUCAGUAAGUAAAAAUAGAUUUCUGUACUUUAUUUUGUCGGUUGAACGGGGGAAAUGCUGCCAUUGAAGUGCUUGGUCAAACAUGUUAGUGGAGCUGCAGAAGAACCUUGAGCAGGUGCCCAGCUUCUCCUGUCUCCUGCCUGACAAUAGCAAGCGGCUGGCUGUUCCCGUUUCCCGGGGCAGCCGGGCCGGCUCCGAAGCGAGGCUGUAGUCACGCUGGAUCUCUGAGAGAGACCACAGAAACACCACAGCAAACAUCUUUUGGUUGACGCUGCUUCACUUUUGAGUCGCUCAACAACAUUUUUCAUGCUGAAAACGCCCGGAAAAACUGUUAGCUGUGGGUAAAUAUGUAGCAAAUGUCCCGCUGAUCUCCGGCUCCCAGAGAAGGGGCCAUCAACAAUGGCGGACACGCAAAUCUUUCACCGCGAUGGACCAACGAAGCUUGAUGUCCUUGGUCAGCUUACCUAGUUAUGAAUUUGUUAAUAAGAAGGCCAGAGGUGCCUUUACUGUGGAGUCGCUCUACGGUGUAUUUUUUAUUUAUUUAAUUUUUUUAUCUUUUAUUUGCUGGAAACGGCUGGUAAUACUCUGUUAGCUUCAGGUUAGCCUGUAGCUAAUGUCCGGCUUAUCUCCGACCAUGGAGCAAGAGCUGACAUAAAAGGUCAUGUGUCCGGCUGCGAUCGCACCGGUCUGAGGAUCCACUUCUAAUUUAACAGUCCCAGUCCAUAUUAGAUCUCCACAGGUGAUCAGCAUGACUACAGCUUUGCAUGGGAGCCAGUCUGCCAUGCGGGUGGGAUGUUCCACUCCAAGAAGCCCUUCUUAGCUUCUUGGGUUAGCUAAGUUAGUUAGUAGCUACACUGGUUCAUUUGUUCUAACCCUUUUCCAAACGCAACAGCCCCACCCUUAGCUCCACCUCUUUUCCCAUUUUUGGAUUGUCUGGGCGUGGCGGGACCUGUGACACGGUGAAAAUAACGGUGGUGGGAACCUCCCAUUUGGGAACAAACACCUUUAAUUUGAGUCUAUGGACAUGAAUUGUCCAGGAUGUAUGUCAAUGUUCCCACCAAGGGAACUGUGUACUGGGACCUGCCACUAGGGGGCAUUCACUUUGUUUAAUUGCUGUCUUUCUUUGCUGUGUUCAGUCAUACAUGCCAAUGUGAAUCAGAGAUUAAGCUCACUGUUGAUGAGUAACAUUUUAGCCGAGGAGUUCUUCCUCUCACAACAUGUCAAGGAAAGAAAUUCAGAUGUCUGGGUAAAAGGAUUUCUCAGGAAACCAGCACCCUGGAUUUUGCCUGUGAGCAGUUGACCAUUUUCACAUAGAAAAAUGGGUAGAUUGCUAUGAUUUAGGCAUUUAAACACAUUUGAACCAGCAUCAGGUUGCUGCUACUCUGUUUUCAUCUGGAUUCUUUAUUUGUGGCAAAAGCAGAAGCUGUUGUCACCAGUGACGUCUGGUUUACUUACAUAAUACUUCUGCAUGAUUAAUCAUGCAAAUUAUUAUACAAAUAUGGAGAUGUUUUCAGACUGUUGUCACCUAAUCCAUUUAGUGACACUGCUCAGAUGUGCAGAUCUUAUCAACCUGCUUAGAAAAAAUACUUAGUUUUAGUCAGUUUUAUCCUAAAAUCUUUCCUUUUUAUAGUGGAAUGCACUGAUUUAUUUUUCUAAUAAUUAUGAUUAUUUUCACGCUCCUACAGUGGAAAUUUCCCUGUGGGCUCAUUUGAAUUCUGACAGCAGCUCUGCUUUCGUUAUAUAAAGAAAUUACCCUAAGAUGUUAAUUUGCCACUUCAUGAGCAUUCUCCAUUUUUUUAUUUUUGACAAAAGAAAAGUUCCGGGCAAAAGAUUUUUUUACAAAAAGGAGCAUCAUCUUGUUUGGCAAAAUCAGCAACAAACCAUUUACUUUCAGUUAACAAACCAUUUUGAAUGGCUUAUUUUGAUGAAACUCUCAGUUUAUGGCCUGUUAAUGUAAGAAUUUCAGCAUUGGUAAUAACCACCUAAUAACAGCUUAAUAAUGACUAAUUAAGACUUAGUAGUCCACUAAUAUGCAUAUUAAUUGGUAGCUAAUUUAUGGUUAAUUUGUGUUCCCUAAACUAAAGUGUUACCCAAAAAACAUAAUAGGGUUUUAAAAAGCACCAUUCUCGUAUCCCUGUAAAGCCUAAAUAGAUUACGUAUAAACAUCUGUGAAAACCUGUCAAUAUAAAAUUUUUCAGCCUGAGGUUGAAGGAAAACCGUUUGUUCAGGAGCACACUGACUGUAAUCGGCAUCACUCAGACUUGGUAUUAGUGAGUUUAAAAGUGUGAAUGGUGUGUAUUGUUACUUAAAGUUGACUGAAAUGGAGUUUUUCCUGCUGCUGGGUACCUGAGGUGAGCCUUAGCUUUUGAAGCGCACAUUCAAACUGACCUCUCAUUUCAAAGCAAAGGCCUAGCGCCGGACCAAGGCAGCGCCGUCAUCUCCUGCUUCCACGUUUGGCUGUGCAUUUGGGUUUUUGUGUCUUUUUGAUUAAAAAAGAACUGAAAAGAAAAAAAAACAACAACACAUGGAACCAAUUUUUAUGUGACUUCUCUCAACUUAGUCAUGCAAGCAUGACGACCGGGCAGUCAAAGUUUACUGAAACCACACAUAUCCUGUCAAUGUAUAUAAAUGGAUUUUUAUCACCCUAAAACAUUUGGUCUUCUUACAAAACAACACAUCAGUGUGCCAGAAUUAUUUUCCGUGUGAAUACUUUACUUUCUUUCUUCAUAUGUGUCCUUGCAUUAUUUAUUUAUUUUGCUGAUGAUGUAAUAAUAGUCUAUAGCACACCUUGGUAAAUAGGUUUUAUAAGGCAAAAAAAGAAAAAUAUGAAAGAUUUCUAGAAAAAAAUAAAUGAUUAAACAAAAAGGGAUUAUGUGUUUGGGAAAAGUUGUAAUACUAGAAUAAUGGCACUUUGACAUGUAUAAAUACACACAUACACACACGCUCAAUGGCCCACAGAUGCGUAACAUGUUUUAUUUUACUUCAAUAUGUCACCAUUUGAAAAAAUUUGGUGGUUUUUUUAAGUGCUUAAAAUUUUCAAAUCAUGUGAUUUUGUUUUGUUUUCGUAUUUUAUUACAGCAAUCUAAACUUGGUUUGUUCACCAGAGCAAUUCUUUUGUUUACUCUUUUUGUAUUUUUACUUUGGGAUGGAUUUCAAUUACUUUAAUGAAAACCGUGUUGAAUAAAUUGGUACAUAGUUUAAAAUAUAUUUACUGUAAUGUAUAAGAGAAUAGAACUAUUACGAGUCUGAUUUUUGAAAAUAAAACAUUUUUUUCUAACCAAAGUGUCCUGGAACAAUGUCCUCAUGCUUUUGUAACCGAAUAAAGGAAUAAACUGUGA